GUGAAUCCAUCAAUGCCUUCUGGAACCAACAGCUUUGGUAGCAUUGAGUGGUCGGAUGGUAAACACUUGGUUCGAAGCCCCGUGGCUCUAACCUGGACUUAGUAUUUAGUGGUAAUGAAACUAGAGGGACUAAUGAAAGAAGGUGUAACAGAUAUUGUAAUGCCCUCUAUUAAGUGUUUUAAAUUUUAAGCUUUGAAAUAAUUUUGUCGCUGUUAGAACAUCUCCAAUGGUAUAUCUUAGCAACAUCUUAACACAAAUUUUAGCAUUAAAAGCAAUUAUAUUUAAUGAAACCAACAAAUAUUUGCUAAGAUAUGUAUCUUAUUUAAGAUGUUUAAGAUGUUUUUCUUAAGUUUAGAAGCGCGUGUCGCGAUUUGAGUGGAAAAAAUAAAAAACAAAACCAAAAAAAAAUUCACUCUCCUGUGAUUUUUUCCCGACAUUAUUUCCAUCUCUCUCUCUUGAUCUCUCUGGACACCUUUGCGACAAAAAUGAGGAGAUUCGAAAUCUGUUCGAUUCCGGUGGAGAUAUCGGUGAAUUUUCUCCAUCGUAAGUACCCAUAUCUCUGAUUUUGGUUUUCCGAUUGGGAUGUUUCGGAUCUUGCUAAAGUCUGGGUUUUUUUCGAUUUUGGGGAUUAGGGUUUUGGUUGAUCUUGUGAUCUCGAGAGGAAGAAGUCUCUGAACCGCCUUGUCGUCGAUGAGGCUUCAACGAUGAUAACUCCGUCGUAUCUCUUCACCCUGCAACCAUGGAGAAGCUUCAGCUCUUCCGUGAUGAUACCAUUCUCUUCAAGGUUUGGUUUGCUUUUCUUCGUUUGGAUUCUCUUUUGAUUGAGAUAUUGAAUGGUUGGUUAAAUUAUGAUUUUGUAUGCCAUGUUCUUUCAUCCACUGGAGCUAUUGUCUAGAUUACUUGAAAAGCUUUUACUUGAUUUAACACUAAUUCCGUCCAAGGGGAGCUUGAAUCUGUCAGGAUUGAAUAUGCAAACGCGCAGCUAGAAUAUAAUGCUGCUGAUGAGCGUUCCCAAAUACUGGCUUCUGAAGUCAUUAGUUUGGAAGAUACGGUAUUUGUCUUUGGAUGUUCUUUCUUACAAUCACAUUAGAUUUAAAAAAAGUGUGAAAGGAGUUUAGUUUAGUUUAGUUUAGUUUAAUUGAAAUCUAUUCCUCUAAAAAGUAGUGUGAUUUACUCUGUCUCUUUGAGAUACCACUUUGCUAUGAAAUAAUGAUGAAACAUUUGUGUGACUAUGAAAUAUUGCAGGAAGACAUGGGAUGGCUUAAGAAAACAGUGGACGAUUAGCAUAUACUAGAGGUAACAAUUCUUUCUUAAGGAAGAUUAGCAUAUUUCUAUGAAUUUUUUUAAUGAUUUAGCAUAUCAUCUGAUUUCUGUUGGACAUAAGCAAUAGGAAUUUGAAAUUGGACAGAAGCAAUAGGAGUUUGAAAUUGGACAGAAGCUUUGUAUGAGUUUGGUUUUAUGAUUGCUUGUUUAAGAAGAUAGUGUUUUGCAACAAUUUGAAUUUUGUUUUCUUAAGAUACUUUCUAUUCUUAACCAUUGGAGGGCAUAUAUGUUAAGAUACUAUCUUCUUUUCUUAACUUACAAAUAAGCAAAAAUUUAUUUUAAAAUAUUGCUGAGAUACAAAGUUAAGAACCAAAUGGUUCUUAACCAUUGGAGAUGCUCUUAAUCACUAUUUGUUUCAAACAGUAGAAUACUAGAAUGGUUGGAAACUUCAAAUUGAUGAAAAAGAAGUUUAAUGAACUGGUUGCUCUGUUCCGGAUAGGAAGAUUUGGAGAUUUUGGUGAUUUAUUUCUGUCCAUUGAGGGUUGUUGUUGCCAUGCUAGGAGAAGGAGGAUAUGGUAGAUAUGAUAGUUUUCCCAAACAUCUACAUCAUAUCCCCGUUCUAUUAAAAAAGACACAUUCUAUUAUUUUUUGUAACCAUCAGUAGUUUAGGAUCGUUGGACAACUUGUAAGAAUAUAAUUCUCCAAUACAAAUAUAAUUGAGACAAAUUGUUUCUAAUAGUAUUGUGUAUAUAAAUACACAUAUGGAAAUAAGAUGCUUUUCCAAAACUGUGAAAAGUUCAUCUACAUUUAUUUUUAAUAAUGGAGGCCUAAUCAUGUUAAUGUGUAGGUACAUUGUAAGAAUUUUUUUUGUAAAAUCAAAUAACUAUCCUUUCUAAGAUUCAAAGUUAAAGAUAUACUAACAUAUUAAUAUAUAUUUUCCUACUGAAUAAGAAAAAGUAUUUCUAAUUUUGAGUCUACAUACAUAUAUGUGAUAAUAAAGUUGUUUUUCCCAAAAUUGUAAGAAAGCAAUCAAUGUUAAUUUGUUUUUAACAUCAUGGCAACAUAAUCAUGUGUAGCAUCAAAGACAGCAUUAAAAGAAUACUAGAAUGGUUGGAAAUUUCAAAUUAAUGAGAAAUAAGUUUAAUGAACUGGUUUGGAGUAAUUUCAAAUUAAUGAGAAAUAAGUUUAAUGAACUGGUUUGGAGUAAUUUGAAAUUUCCAACCAUUCUAGUAUUCUUUUAAAAGCAACUUUAUUAUACUCUAAAUAAAAAUCUAAUGGCGUUUAAUUUGAAAUAAACUAUAACAAUUUCAUAGUUAUUUAAAAGACAACUCCCCCACACCCCAAUUAAUAGAAUAUAUUACAUUGAUUAGGUUUCUUUCCCCUAUAUAUCUGCUAUAUAUAUUGACCAAUGCCAAUAAGUAAACAAAUUACACUUUGAUUCGCUAUUAUACAGACACUUAAAGUACAUUAUCAUUUACCAUUAGAUCUUUCUUUAUUUACCAAAAAGUUAACUAAACGUGUCUUGUGAAACGUCGACUCUUAGUUUUUGGUUUCUUCUUUUUCGAUUACAGACAAAUUUUGAUUUUGUUUGUUCUCAUCAAACACAAAAUCUCCAUUCAAGGUAGUUCUAUUCUACGUUUUAUUUCUCUUUUAUUAGAUUUUUAUUUUGUUUCUCUUAUUCUAGUUUAAUUCUCUUAUUCUAGUUUAAGUUUAGAACAUUGUUUUUGUGUGUAGUUUUUUUUAUAUCAAAUCUCUGGUCCUCCUUGUGAAGGCUGCAGCUGUGCUGGCAUUUUGUGCCAACCUCGAUUUCCAGGUAUAUUGUUUUUAUCUUUAAGUUUUUGUGUUCUUACUUUUUUUUGGAUCAUAUGUUAUUAAGAUUUUUGUGUAAACUAUCAAUUUGUCUAACCCAUACAGUUUCCGUGUGUAUUACGGUAUCUUGACCUAACCAAAUAACCACAAAUCUUUUAUUAUUGUUUAAAAAAAAAAAACUAAAAUGAUACGAUUAUCUUUUAUGAAAAUCAACAAAAAUUAUAAUAAACAAGAGUUUGUUUUAUACAAAUGUUUAGAGUUCUCUAGCUAUUUCAAAAAUAAAUAGUUAAAAACAUAUGGAAUGAUCGAUUGUGUGCAGGGAAUAUUCCUAAUAAUAUUAUUGCACUUGAAUUUAAAAUUUUCUUAGGUGGAACAUCUAUAUGUAUCUUCGUCGUCAUAUAUAAUAUAUUAUAUAUGCAUGUAUACACUCACCUGUAUGUGUAAAAAAAUUAUGUUAAAUGUAGCUCAAUUCUAGAUAAAAUACAUAUAUAAAUGGAUUUUGAGAAUCAAAUGUUUUCUUUUUUGUCAAAAGGGUUUCGACUUGCUCCGAGGAAAAGAAGUGAGAAUAAAAAAGGUGUUUUUUAGUUUAGGGUUUAUCAUUCUCCUUGACUUUGCAAAACGUGAAAUAUAAGGCACUUACAUCGUUGUACUCUGUUGCUUUUUUUUUAUAGGUAUCGCCUCCUACAAUAAGUUAACAAUGCUUCCUUGUAGAAUUGCUAAAACAAUUCUACAAUGCUUCCUUGUAGAAUUGCUAAAACAAUUCUACAAUGCUUCCUUGUAGAAUUGCUAAAACAUUUGUUGACGGCCAUGGAUUACUUGCAUUUCUUGUGCGCUUCAAAUUACACCUCCUCCCAGAUUAAGAUCAUCACGAGAAUUGAAUUUUCCUGUGACCGGAGCAAGGAGUACAGGAUUUCCGAGCUCAACUAUCCGUCGUUUGCAGUCACGAUCAACAGAGGUGGAGGCGGCGCGUACACAUACACGCGUAUCGUAACGAGCGUGGGAGGAGCUGGAACUUACACGGUUAAAGUCAUGUCUGAUGUUAAGGCGGUCAACAUUUCGGUCGAACCGGCGGUUUUGGAUUUCAAUAAUGUCAAUGAGAAGAGAUCGUAUUCGGUUAUCUUCACCGUGAAUCCAUCAAUGCCUUCUGGAACCAACAGCUUUGGUAGCAUUGAGUGGUCGGAUGGUAAACACUUGGUUCGAAGCCCCGUGGCUCUAACCUGGACUUAGUAUUUAGUGGUAAUGAAACUAGAGGGACUAAUGAAAGAAGGUGUAACAGAUAUUGUAAUGCCCUCUAUUAAGUGUUUUAAAUUUUAAGCUUUGAAAUAAUUUUGUCGCUGUUAGAACAUCUCCAAUGGUAUAUCUUAGCAACAUCUUAACACAAAUUUUAGCAUUAAAAGCAAUUAUAUUUAAU
rnacentral:lncRNA from 1 species